rnacentral:rRNA from 1 species
ACGCUGGCGGCAGGCCUAACACAUGCAAGUCGAGCGGUAGAGAGAAGCUUGCUUCUCUUGAGAGCGGCGGACGGGUGAGUAAUGCCUAGGAAUCUGCCUGGUAGUGGGGGAUAACGUCCGGAAACGGACGCUAAUACCGCAUACGUCCUACGGGAGAAAGCAGGGGACCUUCGGGCCUUGCGCUAUCAGAUGAGCCUAGGUCGGAUUAGCUAGUUGGUGGGGUAAUGGCUCACCAAGGCGACGAUCCGUAACUGGUCUGAGAGGAUGAUCAGUCACACUGGAACUGAGACACGGUCCAGACUCCUACGGGAGGCAGCAGUGGGGAAUAUUGGACAAUGGGCGAAAGCCUGAUCCAGCCAUGCCGCGUGUGUGAAGAAGGUCUUCGGAUUGUAAAGCACUUUAAGUUGGGAGGAAGGGCAGUAAAUUAAUACUUUGCUGUUUUGACGUUACCGACAGAAUAAGCACCGGCUAACUCUGUGCCAGCAGCCGCGGUAAUACAGAGGGUGCAAGCGUUAAUCGGAAUUACUGGGCGUAAAGCGCGCGUAGGUGGUUCGUUAAGUUGGAUGUGAAAUCCCCGGGCUCAACCUGGGAACUGCAUUCAAAACUGACGAGCUAGAGUAUGGUAGAGGGUGGUGGAAUUUCCUGUGUAGCGGUGAAAUGCGUAGAUAUAGGAAGGAACACCAGUGGCGAAGGCGACCACCUGGACUGAUACUGACACUGAGGUGCGAAAGCGUGGGGAGCAAAC